rnacentral:rRNA from 1 species
AGGGCCGCGGUAAAUUGACUGUGCGAAGGUAGCAUAAUCAUUAGUCUUUUAAUUGAAGGCUUGUAUGAAUGGUUGGAUGAGAAAUAUUCUGUCUUUAUAUAUUAUAUGAAUUUAACUUUUAAGUGAAAAGGCUUAAAUGUUUUAGUGGGACGAUAAGACCCUAUAAAAUUUAAUACAAUUUAUUUUAAACUUGUUUUUUUACGUGUAUUUGGUUGGGGCGACAGUGAUAUAAAUUUAACUGUUAUUAUAUUAUAAUAAUUGUCAUUAGGUUUUGAUCCUUUAUUAAGGAUUAUAAGAUUAAGUUACUUUAGGGAUAACAGCGUAAUUUUCUUUGAGAGUUCUUAUCGACAAGAGUAGUUGCGACCUCGAUGUUGAAUUAAAGUGUUAGGUGGGUGUAGUAGCUUAUCUAGUUGGUCUGUUCGACCUUUAAAACUUU